CUAUUAAAGCUUUAGAAAAGAGGCCCAUAUUUUAUUAGGGUUUGGUUUGUUUUCCCGGUUGACAUGCAGAGUAUAAUCGGCUUGACUCUUCAGAUCUCACUUCUCCUACCUUCGUCUGUAUAAUGGCUUGACUUACUGACUAUCCUCUUUCAGAUACAUUAAUCUUUGCAUUUACGUGUUUAUAAAUGGGAUCGUAGCCUGCGAUUAUCAGACCCACCACUCUUAACAAUGGGCUUCUAUCGGAGGUCUCCCUGAUUCACGCUUUCAUACCAAAGUCGAGGGAUUCUUCGUCUUUCCAAAUCGAGUGGAUUCUAUCUCCCAAAUACACCGACUUAUGAUCCAUAUGGGAUUUUCUAAGUUCGUGGCCUGCCUUCUUAUUUGAGUGUAUUUAAGGUUGUCGCACCUGUUAGAAUGACAUUCUAAAUGUAAGCCUGCCUAUUUUAUUCUUACUUCUUCUUCUAUCAUAUCUUUCUUUUUCUCAUAUUUGGAUUCCAGCCCUUUUGGAUACGUGACAUGUAUGAUACCUAUAAGCACGUUCUUUGCAUCCAUCCUCUGGUCUAUAAAUACUGCAUAUUUGGACAUUUCAAUUGCCUUCAUACAGAUUUUCAAAGGACACCACUCUCUUUCUGCUCAAAGCCUAUUUUAUAACUGUUGCAUUGAAUGUUGAUGCAAAGCUGCCAACGAUGUCGCUUAUCGCUUCAGACUCCAGCUUCUUGCCCGGUGUGAAAGAGCUCCAUUGGUCUCAACAACGAGAACACCACAGGUUUCCCUGAUGCUACAACUGAUGAAGCAAGCACAAUGGACUCAACACCACUACCUUGUCAAGCGGAGACAGUGAUAAGCAUUGACAGCAGAGCAAGUGAUUUCACGUGGAAACAACAACAAUGCAGAAAGAGUAUUAGCUAAUCAUCAACAUCAUGAAGUGAAAUAAAGGUUUGGGGAUGCUUAGUGUUAGAGUGAGAUGCAAGUCGUGUAACUCCAAUCUCUGUUUAUGUUAUUGUUUACUUUACUUUAUAAAAACCAUGCUGGAUUCUAUCAAGAAAACUUUUAAAAAUUGA